rnacentral:misc_RNA from 1 species
GAUGAAGAACGCAGCGAAAUGCGAUAAGUAAUGUGAAUUGCAGAAUUCAGUGAAUCAUCGAAUCUUUGAACGCACAUUGCGCCCGCCAGCAUUCUGGCGGGCAUGCCUGUUCGAGCGUCAUUUCAACCCUCGAGCCCCCCCGGGGGCCUCGGUGUUGGGGGACGGCACACCAGCCCCCCGAAAUGCAGUGGCGACCCCGCCGCAGCCUCCCCUGCGUAGUAGCACACACCUCGCACCGGAGCGCGGAGGCGGUCACGCCGUAAAACGCCCAACUUUCUUAGAGUUGACCUCGGAUCAGGUAGGAAUACCCGCUGAACUUAAGCAUAUCAAUAAGCGGAGGA